GUACAUCAUGGCCCCGUGAGGUUUUAUCAUUUGAGACAUACAUAUUUUACUGCAGUUGAAAGAAUAUCGAAAAACAUCAGAACAAGUCAUACAAAAUUACUGAAGUGGUUUAGCAUCAGCUAGAUCCAUUAGUAGCAAAUCUUCUGGUACAUAGGAAACCAAAUCUUCAUUUUUCAUAGGACCGGAUUAAACUAAGCUAACUAAGUAGCAGAAAAAUUUGAAAAUUUAGUUAACUUCCAGAGACGCGCACUGGCCUGGGGAUGAUUGCUCUGAUAAUAUUGUCCUUCUUUUCUCUAACUAAACAAUUGCCUUUUAAAAUUAGUGAUUAAAUUGAACAAAUGAGAUUAAAUUGUGUUCCGUAAACAUCUGCAUUAAAUAUGCCAUAUUAAGUUUACAUAGUGAUCGGAUACUUUCUGUUACUUAUUGUUAGUUAAUUAUUAGUUUCUUUCCCUCAUUUCAAUCACUAGUUUCCAUAAUUAGCACAUUUUUCUCUCACUAAGACUAUAAAAAAAUUAAAAUAUCUAAUAUAUCCGGAACAUAUUGGGUAAAUGCUCACCAUUUUUUAGUGCAAAUAU
rnacentral:lncRNA from 1 species